UACGAAGGGGGCUAGCGUUGCUCGGAUUGACUGGGCGUAAAGGGCGCGUAGGCGGUUUGCAUAGUCAGACGUGAAAUUCCUAGGCUUAACCUGGGGGCUGCGUUUGAUACAUGCAGGCUUGAGUUCGGAAGAGGGUCGUGGAAUUCCCAGUGUAGAGGUGAAAUUCGUAGAUAUUGGGAAGAACACCGGUGGCGAAGGCGGCGACCUGGUCCGAUACUGACGCUGAGGCGCGAAAGCGUGGGGAGCAAACAGG
rnacentral:rRNA from 1 species